rnacentral:rRNA from 1 species
CCUACGGGAGGCAGCAGUAGGGAAUCUUCCACAAUGGGCGAAAGCCUGAUGGAGCAACGCCGCGUGGGUGAAGAAGGUCUUCGGAUCGUAAAACCCUGUUGUUAGAGAAGAAAGUGCGCGAGAGUAACUGUUCACGUUUCGACGGUAUCUAACCAGAAAGCCCCGGCUAACUACGUGCCAGCAGCCGCGGUAAUACGUAGGUGGCAAGCGUUAUCCGGAUUUAUUGGGCGUAAAGGGAACGCAGGCGGUCUUUUAAGUCUGAUGUGAAAGCCUUCGGCUUAACCGGAGUAGUGCAUUGGAAACUGGGAGACUUGAGUGCAGAAGAGGAGAGUGGAACUCCAUGUGUAGCGGUGAAAUGCGUAGAUAUAUGGAAGAACACCAGUGGCGAAAGCGGCUCUCUGGGCUGUAACUGACGCUGAGGUUCGAAAGCGUGGGUAGCAAACAGGAUUAGAUACCCCAGUAGUC